CCUGUUCUUUUUUUUCGUACCAAUUCGUCGGUGUUUCUCCUCGUGCCUUCUCUUCUCAAUUAACUCUAUCAGUUCAGAAUGCCACUUAUCUCUAUAUCAUCGUUCCACAUCUUAUGUCAUGUUAGCAUUCCAAUAUUCCAUGUGUAAUGCUUUUUACCACCAAUACAGAUAGUCCCCCACUUUUCUGAAUAUUCUCUGUUGAAUAUUCAAGGAAGUGAAAAGUUUUUAUGGAAGAAUAUCUCUGCCGCCGUUUUUUGAGUACAAUCAUACCCCCAUAUGAACUAAUACGACGCAUAUCACGUCCAUUUAACGAUCAUGCCGCGUGGCUUCUACCAAUUGGUUCUUCAUUUCCUUAAUGUGUUUAGGGCUUUUCUGCAGCCGUAUCAGUCACGAAGUGAGGGUUCCAUUAUGAUGCUUCAUAAUGACUUUAAU
rnacentral:lncRNA from 1 species